UCUACGAGGCACUGUGGAUUUCUUAAGACACUGCAACCCACAUUGAAAUAUUCUUCCUGUGAGAAAUGAAGCAUUGAAUUAGCAUAUGGUGAAGGAAGUUGCCUGUCCAGGAAGGAACCUACAGUGCUAUUCUAACGGAUAGAUCUUCAGGAGCCGGAGAAGUGACUCUGGCAGGGCUCUGGCUGCUUCCUGCCUGUAGUCUGUCAGCUUAUUUUCCUGGCUUUCUCUUCUGACGCCCAGAAUCUCAUCGAUGGGUUAUCACUUACCCCUUUCUUCAUCCUCCCAAAGCAGGGAGACGCUUCAGUCAGCCUUCUUCCUUAGAUGAAUGUAUUUAUACAUAACUGUUGGUGGAAUGAAUACAUUCCAUUUCGGUUUCCUCUGCCACUUCUCACUAGCUUGGUGGCUUAUUUAUUUAGUGGUUGGUUACCUUAUCUCUCUGAAGGCUAUGGAUGAGUCAGCGAAUGAGGCCAGGGGAGGACUCUGUGGCGUGCAACCUGAUACGAGGUGCCAUCUGGUACCUUCUUUCUCAACCUCCCAUCUCCCAAACCUCCUCUACCGGCCCACCCCUUGACAGGAUGCUGCCUGACUUUGUUUCCUAGGCAAAACCCCGGGAAAAUGCACUUUCUCCUUAAUGAUCCUCAGCUGUUUUUUCAGGAUCUGUAGUAGACACCUCAUUUUUUUUUUUGUCCAGAACCCCCUUCUCAAUUCUUUGGGAAUGUCACCCCAGUUCCUCUGCUAUUUUUCUUUGGAGGAACACCCCUCCCCUUGGAAGCUGUCUUGUUGAGAGUCUGUCAGGGUAGGUGUGUUGUGUUGUGGCCAAGAAGUGAGCCUGUGACCCAAGCUGAGCUCGUCAGUCUAUCUCUGGGGAAUCGGAAUGUGAGUGACACAGCCCAAGAGCUGGAAAGUGGUCGGGCAGCUACUUUGGGACAGUGGUGACUGUCUAUAAUCCCUGCUUCUGGGAUCUGUGGCACUUCCUUUGUUCCCGUCCUUUUCAAGGCCCUGUGGUUCAGCCUUCCCUUUGAUGCCGCAGCAUCUGCUUCCAAUAAAUUAGCUUUUUCUGAAGCAAGCCAGACUCCGUUGCUGUUGUUUAUGAUCAAAGAACCCCGAAAAGGCCACCCUCUGCUCCCUUUUCUCUGUCUCUUGUAGCUCCCCCCACUGCUUACAGCUCUGGGGGCUUCACAUUUCUAUGAGAGCAAAACCCAGCUCCCAGAGUGGCCUGCAGGCCAAGCCCACACCACUCUGGGGGCCUCUCUGCUUGCCUUCUUGGGGAGCACUCUCUCUUGGGCCCCCCUCAACUUCUCUACUUCUUUGAGUGUUCUGUGCACUCCUGCGUGGGGAUCUCCCAAGCUGCCUUCUGCCUGCGGGGCUCUUGGAGUUGGCUUUUCAGUGCCCUUACCAACCCUUGCCUGGUAGGGGCUCUCAACAUACCUGAUACUUUCUCAUCAUAACAUGCAUGUGUAAUCAUAUAUUUUAUCAUUGUUUAUCUCCUUCGCUAGACCAUAAGCUCCAUGAGGACAGGAACUAUACAUUUGUCCCUGACUGUAUUUUAGUGUCUAACAUGGCACUUGCUAGGCGAUAAGAGUCCAAAACAUUUUUGUGGAAUGAAUAUAUAAAAAACAUGCAAUCUGACCUUGCCAGACCACCCGAGGUAUGAAUUUGCUUCCAGUCUCCCACUUAUCAGGAUUUCUUGGCUCCAUCUGUUCUCUUUAGGGCUCUGGUCUGCACUGGGCAAUGAUGGCCAGAGUGGUUUCAUCACACACAUAAACACAGUCUUUGCUAGCAAGCUUUCCCGCAGCUCUCCUUUCUUUGACCUUCUAUCAUACCCCUGCCUAAUGUUCACCUUAUACCACCUGAUUAUAUUCUCCUAGAGAGGCCCAUUUGAUGGUAGGAUUAUUAUAUCCUUGAAGGCAUCGAUUAGGAAUGUGAACACUAAUUCUUUUAUGGUUCUGUGCUUGAGUAGCUAAUUCAAUUAAUCUCAUCGAAGCGUAGUUUCCUCAUCUUUAAGAUGGGGAUAAUAAUAUCUGUCCUACUAUACAAUGCCUGGUGGUGGUGAGAACAUGAAGAGAUAAUGUCAAAGCACUUAGAACAAUUGCUAAAUGGAUACAAAAUGUGAGAAAUGUUUAUCAUUGCCUUAUAUCUUUCUGAUAUACGUGAUAAUAUUUAGUCUUUUCUAGGCACUCUCCAGAUACUAGAAUGUCUUCAUCUGCCUGCCCUUACUUCACCUAGUAAGUGAAAUGAGAUAUACUACUGUUUCCCGCUGAAUACCCACCGAGAGCAGCACACGCAGAGCUAAGGGCUUCAUUUACUGUGUGCAAGAAUGUGAGGUGGACAUUAGUUUCCCUCAUUUGACUGAGGAGAAAACAAAAGCUAGGAGAGCUUUAGCCACUUACUCAAGGUCACACAGCUUAUAAAUUGGGGAGCUGAGCCCAUGGACUCCAAAGCUAGUGCCCUUCCCCAGGACCUAUAGGGCCUCUCCCCUGCAAAUCUCUCAGAUGGCCGACCCCGGGUCAUACUCUGCCAAGUGCCCACCAUGGCAUACUUUCUGUUCAUUUAAAGUUCACACUGUCAUCAUCAUUUCACAAUUGAGGGAGCGGUGGCUGAGAGAGAGAGAGAACUUGGACAUCUGCUUCCGGGUAGGAGAGAGAGUUACAACAGGCCACCGCAACUAUUGCAGUAACUGGAAGAAAACUGGAUGCAUUGUACAAAACAUCUGCAAGAGACAGUGGAGAGCCUUGGAAGCCAUGAGCGGGAACGAUUAAUCUAGAAAAGAACCUUUUGGCCCGCUGAUCCUGCCUCAUUUUCUUCCCUGGGGGCAUCUGCCCGGUCUGAGCACAGGCAUGUACUUGACCUGAGUGGGCUGAGACUCUACUGAAGGAAAGGGAAACCACAGAGGUUGUGGCCAUCUCGGUAGGCUGGCAGGACAGAGAAACCAGAGGGGCCCCAAAGGCAAGGCUGGUUUUCUCUGUGGAGCAUUUGCUGAGCUGUGGGGAAGCUGAUGAGAAGUCUCAAUAACCCUGGAAUCUAGCACUCUCUAAAUCUGGGCCUGCAGCACAGGCCAGUUGUUUCAAGUUUCUUUCCUGGAGCCCAUGGGGAUCAGGGGAUCAUUCUCCCUUCUCUUUGGUAUCUGUAUUCCUCUGCACCAACUGGGCCUACAUUUUCUGUGGCAAGUAGCUUUUCACAGACAUUGUCGCCCCCUGCUGUCAGUGAUCAGUGUUGCAAUGACUUGGAGCCUGCCCUUAGCAUCUUCUGUCUGGACAGUGUUCUCUCAAGAAUUGGGGGUUUUAGCCCUGAUGAUCAGUUCCCAAGUCUGAGGAUUUUGUCUCACUGGUCUUCUCCACCCCUGAGUGUUAACUGUCUAGAUUGGUCGACGGCCGUGGCUGUCAGGUCCUCAUCUGUGAAAUAGCAUCAACAGUGCCCAUUUUGCAGGUUGUGCAUUCUUCGAGGAAGGAAAUAAAGUUCUUAGUGUUGUCUAGUAUGCAGUUAGUGAUUGGUAAGUAGUAAUAACAGUAGCAAUCUUUCUCAAAGCUCCUCAAAGGAGGCAGCCCUAGGUGGCACUUCCAGUGGUGGGGAGAGAUGGCCUGACUCCAGAUGUUCUGGGGACAUUCUAGACGUUCUCAGCCCUCCUCACCGGAGUGCACCAGGAGCCAGGAGCCUGGUGCCCAACACCAAGGAGGAGGAGAGGAGGAGAGGAGGAGGAAGGCUGGGCUGGUGAGUGCCAGGCAGCUCCCUGGACGUUAGCAUCUGGUCUGUUAACUGUUUAGUAUUGGCGAUUCUCAGGCCUCAGCCCUGGGAGCUGAGGUUGCUCAAACUAUCUCUGCCUUUCUGAAGGUUGCACCUGGAUCCUCUCUGACAAGACGGGACCCCUGGCCUCCUUAGAUGGAGGCAUGCCGAGUUAACUGAUUGAUGGAGGACAGAGGUUAGAUAUUUCAAGCUAGUUCUUGCCUGGGUGAACUGCUUUUCUGCCUCACUGUGUGGGCCCCACGCGGUGGGUGCUGGGGAGCCGUGGGUGUGGGUGCAGACACCUGCCUGGGGGCUUCCUGGGGCCGGGAUCCCAGGGCCUUGGUCACCUAGCAUCUCAGGGAGCUCAGACCUUCGGGCUCUGUGGCGUCAGCUCUGGAUGGUGCCCGUUUCCUGUUCUCCAGCUUCCCCCAUUGUCAGGUUCCCGUGAUACCAGCACCCCUUGCAGCAGCCGUCUCCUGGAGGCUUCUUUCCUGGCGAUGUAGAAGACUUCCCAUCAUUCUUCAUUUUGAAAGCACACACUGUCCCUUGGGCACUCAGCUGCAUUCCCCCAGAUCUUGGCGCUCUUUCCCCCGGGGCCCGCCCACGAUCUCUCUCCCAGUGUGCUUGGCCUCGUCUCUGGCUUGAGCGGACACAGCUGCCCCUGCCUGGCCUUCUUUCUCUGGGUCCCGAGCCACCGACCGCGCAGGGACGCAGCCGGCAGCCGCCUGUGGUGACGGGUCGGAGUCUAACGCCUUCCCGGGCAGCCCACAGACCCAGCAGUACCCUACUAACUCUGAGCCACCCUUUCUUUUCUGUCCUCACAGCAUUACGACCCUGUGGCUGGUUAAUUUCUACCUGCUGGCUUGUCGCCACAUACGUAGAUUUAGGUAUGGGCCUUGUGACUUGCUUCUGUUCUAGAGCUGCCAGAUAAAAUACGCAGUGUCCGGUUAAAUUUAAAUUUUGAAUAGGCAAGGAAUCUUUUUUUUUUUUUUUUUAGUUUAAGUGUGGCCUAUAUAUUGCAUGGACAUACUUAUACUAAAAAAAGAUCCCCUGUUUAUCUGAAAUUGAAGUUUAACUGGAUGCCUUGUAUUUUUAUUGGCCAAGUCUCACAACUCUGUUCUUGUCUGCCCCAUCAGGGUCCUCUAGGGGCUUGGGAACUUUCUGGGGGAGGCUCCGCUCCUGACAGCAGGGGCUCCAUCUCAACCUUUAGAUUAAGAGACUUGUCACCCAUGAUGUCUUCCUUAGACGGGAGGAUUCCCUGGAGAAAGGACUUGUGCCCCUGUCUCCCACUCCCACCCUUGAGAGGCUCCAGGUUAGCCCUGCUAUGUGUGCAGGAUCUCCAGCUAGGGUCUGAGGGCUUGGCUCAUUGUGAGCAAUUUGGGUGUGGGGCUCCCUUUCCUGCAGACUUACCCAUCGGAGCUAAGCCCACACGCGUUCUGCCUGCUCGAGGGACCACUUUUCCUGAAACGGUCGUGGGCUGGUGAGCAGCAGGGAAGCCUGGAGGGGAGAGGCCCCCCAUCACAGGUCUGGUGCUGCCCGCCGGCUGGGAGAUACAGCUCUGAGCUAAGCGAGCAUCCUCUGGGUGCCUCAUGUCAUUUUGGCAAGGCUCACAGCUUCCCUUUACACUUGCGUGUGGCAGCUGGUGUAGGAUAAAUAUCAGGCCCGGUCUUUGUUCUUUGCCUGGUGACCUUUCAAUUUCUUGGCUUGUGCUUCAUUUCAAAAUCUCUUUAUAGGGACGAGAGGAAGUAGCUCGACCAGGAUCUGGCUCUGGUGGCUCUCGGUCCGGUGCACAGCAUGAGGCUGUCUCACUGGGGUGCUGGGGACGGGGAGGCCGAGGAGGCCGACCUGAGCGGGGGAGGUUUACCCGAGGCCCAGGCUCUGGCAGCGCUGACUGGUGAUUGCUUCUCUUCUCAGCAGAGAUGACAGAAGGUGUCAAAGCCAAAUAUUCACUGGAGGCAAAGUCUGAACACUUCAAAUAAGAUUUAGUGACUCAUCGGUCGUGGGCAACUCAGGACUCUGAGAAUCCCUGCAGGAAAAAUGACUGUUAUCCUUAGGUGGGAAGUCGAAGAAGCCUCUGGAAACCUGUGGUGGCAGCCAGAUGGCACCACCAAUAUUCUGCCUGGAAAUUGCAGAUCAUCAAGCUCGUUAGCCAACGUCUACUGAGUACCUGCUGUGUGCCUGGCUUUUAUAAGCUCUGGCUAUUCAUAGAUGGAUAAACUCACCAUGAUACCAACCGUCAUGAAGCUUCAUAGUCUGGCCUUCUCCACAAAGACCCAGCUGUCCCGUGCGACUCAUAACGUGGGAGAUUGUCCUGUGCUGCUCUGCGGGCCUCUCUUCCGUGCUCCCUAGGUCACGAUUCUGGUGUGAGAGGGUGCUACCCAUCACAUACCUCGGCCUACCCCACCUGCUCAUAAUUACAGGAUGUAACGGUUUUGUACCAGGCAUGGUGACAAGUACUUUUUAUAUGUGUCAUGUUAAUUACUCCAACCUAUACUUCUCUGAGGUAAGUCGCAUCAGUCCUUUGACUGUUGAGGAAACUGACGUUCAGAGAUGUAACAACAGCCGGAAAGGUGGCAGAGCCAGUGAACCUAAGGAUGUCAGACCCCACGCUCCAUGUGUUUAACCUCUUCUGCAUACGGACUGUGUCGCCCGAGAGCACUCUGUUAUCAUCCUGUUUUGUUGGUGGCAGAAGUGCCCGUUCUCCAUCUGACUCGGGGAUUGGGCCCGGGUGGGGUAUGACCCCAGGUUACUGGUGAGGCCGAACCAGCCCUAACGCUGUGGGUAUUUAAGACGUGCAAACAAGGGGUAGGUGUCUGGAAGGCAGAUAGACGAAUGCCAGAACCCCAGGCCCAGGGAGGACCGCGCAGGUCCAGCAGGGAGAGAAAGUUGGUUGGGGGAGGCAGGACCACCUCCUGCUUUGAGAGCAGGCCUGACAGUCUGAAUCCUCGUGCCCAUCGGGGCCUCGGCCACAGCUGGAUCAGGUUAGAGUAACUUCCCCAAAACCAACUGGGAAAACCCUCAGGGUGCUAGGCCACUCAGGCAGCUGCCCGGGGGGAUGACCGCCCCGGCUGCUGCCCCGUCUCCUCCAUUCAUGGAAAAGUACAGGCCUUCAGGCAAAUGCCUGGCUGCCCUCUGCGCUCACAACUGCAAGCGCUGACUCGUUUGUCCUUGGUCCAGGGCUGGAGGAAAAUAGUUUCCCAAAAAAGCAGCUUAAAAAAAUGUGGAAAAUAUCCACACCCCAAGUGUCUGCAGAGCGGGGGCGGGAAGUCUCCUAGACGGGCUUGCAGCCGGAGAUUCCGCGGUCCUCUUGCGAAGAGGCAGGGAAGGAAUGUGAAACCCUAUCACCCGAAGGGGGAAAAAUGCACAGUGUGCCUUUCACUUUCUGCCUGCGCUUGGAGGCAAGGGGGGGCAUGGGUCAUGCUGGGAAGUUGUUGCCUCCUGAGGGGCUGCCUCGGACGGCAGGGGUUCAGUGGGUGGGUGAGUCAGGAUACCUGCUCUGGUCCCCAGAUGCUCAGUGGGGACCUGGAACAUGCAUCUAUUUUCUCAAGGAUGCUGGGACUGCUUGGCCUCCCAGUGCUAAACCUACUCUCUGUGACCAAUCCUCACUUCCUACCUUAUGCAGUGAUUCACCGCUUUACACAGGAUCUCAUUUGACACUUGCUGUGAGUGAGGAGGUGAGGUAUAGACCCAGGAUACUACUGGGUCUGUUGUACAAAAGAGAGACUCAGGUUCAGGAGGGGAGGUGUCUGCUUAGGGCCACAUAGACCUCAGUCUCCCGUGAGUCCAGUGUCCUUUCUCUUAGACCAUGCGUGUGCUGCCCCUAAGUCUUGCACCUUAGACACCCUAUGAAUCCCUGCUGCAUUAUCUCAGAAGCGGGAGGUGCUGGGGGGUGAGGGCUUUGGGGUCAGGAGCCUGACCUUUGUGGCACUGUGCCUGGCCCAUAGGUGGCCUCUUGAUUGUGUGAAAGAAUGAAUGUGUGACCUUGGGCAAGUCAUUUUAAUCUCUCUGUGCCUCAGUUUCCUCAUCUGCACAACGUAAGUGUGGAGUGGGAUAGUCUCUGAAGUCUGAGCUCCUUCCCAUUAUCAAGCUUUGAGGCGCUAAAUUUCCCGAUCAAACCCACGCUUCAAACCCACACUGGCUAGCCCCUGCCGAUGCAGCCAUCACCUCCCCAGUCCAUUCAGUCACUGGUCCCGCACAGACUCUGCCGUGACCCUUCCUGGUACCCACUUGGCCCUGGUGAAGUGGGCUGAGCACAGAGCUGGAGGUUCGAGGCCCGCUUUUGCCUCUGCCUGUCCACACAGAGCCCUGGCCCGGUUGCCCACACCACUCUGCAAGUGUUAGGUCUCUUGCCUGACCCGUGGGAUGGCAGGGUGAGGCUGGGUUGGGGUGAAAGCUGUGUGGAAAGGAAAAUCGGGGUCUCAGUGUGGGGGUGGUGUGAGGCACUCAUCUGAGAAUCAUGGUGAGGGGAGAGGUUUUCGAGCAGAACAGGGGGAGAUGCUGUCACUUGGUCAUCCUGGGCCAGGAGUCAUCUGGAUCUAGAUUCAGUGAUUCUGGGCCUGUAUUUCCUUUUUAUGGUCUCAGAUGGCUGGCUCCUUGACAGGGCUAAUGGUAUGGGGCACAGGAAAGGUGGGCACAGGGCUCUGACAGGUGUCACAGAGCUAAGUCCUUGACGCACCCGGGUGUGCUCGAGGGAGUCCAGGGGCAGGAGUUUUACACCGUGAGUGGCUGAGCAUUGUUUGGAAGUUCUACUGGGUGGUUCCUCCACGUGCCUGGCCCGAGCUGCUCUGGUGCUGCGGCCGGUGCGGGCAAGCAUGGAGAAGCAGACUGGGGGACUGGUGGACAGAAGGGUGGGGCAGCAUCCCUGUCAGGGCAGGAAUGGCCUACUUCUGUGUGUGCAGGGAUGGUGGAGGGGGUGGAGGGCGGUGUGUGGCUCCAGGCUUCCCCAGCCCCGCCACCAUGUUGGAAAUCCAGUUUAUUGAAUUUACAGUAAAGGUUUUAUGGGGCUUUCCUGGAAGCUUCUCAUUAUGGAAACUCUUGUGCUGGCAGUUUGGUGGCUGGUGUUUGGUUUGUUUGGGAGAGGUUGAGUCAGGUCCUGUCUUGAUGGAAAGUUCCUCUGCCUGGGUCACUUGAGGGGAGCAGGCCGGGGGCCCGAGUGGGCCUGCCAAAUUCUGAGAGGGGACCGGCUGUCCUGCAUCUUGGUCCUGAAUGGGUCCCCACUUGUUUCCUAUCUGACCAUCAUUCUCUGUGGGUUCCAGACAUCUUUUUGAGGGGAAGCUGUGGGAAAAAAAAAGUCAUCCCAGUAAUUAAAGCCAUUUUCAUUAUUUUCCACAUAUUUGAAAAGUAUGAGGUGCUGGUUGAUUGAGCAAAACCAAGCCAACUCCAUGAAAAUGGAUUUGCUGAUGAUAAACAUCAGGAACACACAACACACAGGGCCACGUCUGGAUCGAGAGUCCUGGGGCCUCAGCGUGAAGUGCCUCCAGCUGCCCCUUAGAAGCUCCUUUGUCUGACCUUUCCAACUUCCUCUUGGACUCUGACUUUGCACCUUCCUCACCACUAGGCUCACAUUCCCGCCCCAAGAUGCCUGAUUCUGAGGGGAGAAGAGCAGGGCUUUGGCUCUAGGAUCUAUGAAAACGGCCAGUUUAUGAAUGUGGGUGUUUCACCAAGGCCCUGACGUGGAGACUGAUUCACAAGUCACCAACCAACUCCCCUUUGGCUGUUGGGGAGACUAUUAGAUCCUGUAACACUGGGUCAUGAGUCCCUCCCUUCCUGGGUGUUUUUUUUUUUUUUUUCUUUAAGUGUUUAUAUCACUGGUGUUCUCAUUCUUUAAAACAAGGGUCAUUCAUAAAACAGAACAUGCUGCUUGGGAGUCAUGAAAAUCAAAUGGUUAAGGUUUCUCCGGGGACUGAUGCGUGUCCCUUUGUACAGAGUGUGGAGGAAGACCACAGCAUUGUCCCUUCCCUGCGGGUGAAGGUGGCCCCUGUGCCAUGCUGGUGGACAGCCAUGUUUCUAACGGUCCCUAGGUGUCCACGAGUGUGGUCUGUGCUGCCCCAGGACACAGAGAGCUGACUGUCAUCAGAGGAACUCGCUGGGGUUUUACUGACUGCUCUGAAGGGUGGUUGGCCAGGAAAACCUCUGAGCUUCCUGACCUGAGAUUCUACGGGGGAGUCAUUGGAGUGGACAGGUGCCAGCUUUGCAGCCCAACAGACCUGGGUUCAAGCCUCGCUUCUCCCACACACUCAGUUUCCUUCUCUGCAAGAGAGAAGCUAAUAAUAUCAAGGCUGCUCUGAGGAAUAAAUGGAGCCUUGCACACAGGGCACCUGAAACUCGGAUGGUGGUUUGCUAUUACUCCCCCUCUUCUCUUCAAGUCAGUUGGGUGCUCGGAGUAGGUACGGGCUUCACACUGUAAGCGAUCCUGCAUUUAAAAAAAAACAGCCACGUAGCUUCAUUUGAUACACGAUAUAUACACAUGCACCCGAGUGUUUGCAUCUUGUUUUGAUUUCUCCCCACUGUCUGUGUUUCCCACAUGUAUGUCUGGAUGAGUGUGUCGGUCCUAGAUGGCAGAGCGGGAGGGACUCAGGGCCACACCAGGCUCAAUUAUCUGCCUCGCGAUGACGACAGUGACACUAACAACAACCAUCUGACAUUUAUGAUUGCACCUGACUUCCCCAGUCACCGCCUCCACCACUCCUGGGAGGCAGGAAGGACCAAUGAGGCGAACGGCACUGCUGAUGAGAGGCUUCCCGAGGGUACACAGCUGGGGUGGCAACAAGACCAGGCCCAGCUUGUGGGCUGAGCUGAAGACUCCCCAGGGUGGCCUUCUCGUUGCCCCCAACUCGUCCCCACACCCCACCGGACGUUCUUUUCCUGUGCCCCUUUCUUUCUGGACUUGGCCUGAGUUCCAGUAAUCAAAUUAGAUGGCUAAUUUUCCACGUGGGCUUUAAGCAUGAUCUGAAAGGCAAGGGAGCCUUUUCCUUGGACCCUGUAGGCUUGGGUGUCUGGGGUAGGUGAGGGCUCAGUUGCCUGCAGCCUGAGGGUCCCAGGGAAGCAGAGCACGGGCCUAAGGCCAGAGCAGGCCAGUGGAAAUGCCAUUGUCCAGGGAGCUCCAGGCUAACUGGCUUUAGAAAGUUAUCUGGCCAGUCUUUUUUCUCUCCCUAAAUUAAUGUGUUCAUUCAUUCAUGCCUCUGGCCUGCAUGGCAUGUUAUAUUCAGUGCUUUGUCAUAUGCAGGAAAGGUGAGAUCCUCCCUGGCCUUGAGGAUUUUGCAGUUCGGUUGAUGAGUCAACUAGACAAUGAACAUGGACAAGUGGAAGCACCAGAGAAUAAUCUAAAGGCUGAGAGAGAAAAAAAAUUCAAAGCCAGGGUUUGAAUCCUGGCCCAGUGUGGGGGCUGAGAGGCUGCUGGGGAGUCCUGGGUGAGAAGGACAAAGGGUCUGGCUGUGGGUCACCUGAGUCUGAGUGCACUGGACAUGGCCAUCACUGUGUUGCUCUUCUGGCCUCCCACUUGCAACUCCCUGCUCUGGGAAAUAGCUCAAGGCUUUCAUUUUUGCACAAAGCUGGUCCCAAUCACACAGGGCAUCUGCCUUAAAUGCAACUAACCCCUACCCCUGUCCAUAUCUUGGUUUGUUUGAAAUGAUGAGCCAGGCCAAGUAAGAUUCCCCUCUAACUGCUCUGAGCCAGUAAAUGCUGAAGAAUGGGCUAGCCGUGAGAGCCAAAGCUGCAAGAUCACGACGUGGGGCUGGAGAGUGGCCAGGAUGGACACAUGCAAGACAUUCUGAGGGGCGCCUGGGUGGCUCAGUCAGUUAAGUGUCUGAGUUCGGCUCAGGUCAUGAUCUCAAAGUUCAUGGGUUCAAGCCCCGCGUUGGGCUCUAUGCUGACAGCUCGGAGCCUGGAGCCUGUUUCAGAUUCUGUGUCUCCCUCUCUCUCUGCCCCUCCCCUGUUCAUGCUCUGUCUCUGUCUCAAGAAUAAAUAGACAUUAAAAAAAAAAAAAAAGACGCUCUGAGAAGCAGAAGCUGUGAGGUGGGGAACAGCUGCAAAGAGCAGAGGUAACCAGGAGACACUCGGUGGUGAGAAACGACAGGAAGGCACAGAAGGAAGCCAAAUCAUGUCAGUGGUGGCCCAUUAGCUGGAAGAGAUACAAACUCUGCCUUGAGGGCUGCUGCAGAUCCAGGACUGACCCCAGGGUGCCGCUCCUCCCCUGAUGCCAGGCUGCUUGGCUUUCCUGGGUUCUUGCAUCCAUGUAGCUGUCAAAAAAACCCCAUGAUGAGAGGAAGCACUGGUCAGUUUCAGUCUUCAUGCAAACAACAGAUACAUUAGCCUCACUAGUUAGCUUCCUAGCAAGUUGGAGAAUGAAGGUCAGUGGACGUCCACGCGUGCACACACGAACACGCGUACACAUGCAUGCACACAAGUGCAUGAAUAUACACACGUUUACAGACUUGGUCGCCAUCCAGAAGUGCUGUAAGUGUGGGGCGGCAGAGCCGUGAUGGGGCAUGGACAGGAUUAGCAAGGCAAGCAAGGCUCCCUGGCCGGAUAGUCCCGUUGGAAGAACAAAUGGGUCAUGGCAGGAGAAACUGCUAAUUUUAGUUUCCUUCAGGAUGUAGAUGUCAUUUAAAGUCAAACUAUUUCCUCAUACUUGUGCCCAGCAAAUGAUUUACUGGGGAAUGCUAACGCUGUUCUCUGUGUCCCAGCAGUGUGAUGGUGUCCCAGAGCAGGGGACAUGUGGCCAGAAGGGCGGCAGCUCAGUGGGCAGUGUUUCUCUCGGCUGUCCUGAGACCCUCCACCGUGGCGGACUGCUCUUCACUGUAGUUCUUCAAAUACCUUGAAUAUGUGUCGUCUCUACAUACCCUUUUGGCCCCCACCACCUGCGGUUCGUUGCCCAUGGAGAUUCCUUGUUAGUGUCCAUCUGGUGCUGCACAGAGAGCUCUCCCACCCUGCGAUGCUGACAUAUGAAUAUGGAUGCACACAUGACCAUGGAAAGGCAUCAGAAAGUUACGUAACUCGCAAGUAGAGAAUACACAUCAGUUACACCUAAAGGUUAAGUGCAUUCUGGAGGUCAGAAAAAGCGAUGAGUGAAUAAUUGAGGUAAGAAAGUAGCUUGCAGGAACCACUUUAAGAUACAGAUUGAUUCAGGGUGGGGCAGGGGAAACUGCCUAUGUGAUUAAUCUAACACCUUCCAGAGGAAGUGGGCCUUCAGGAGCAGAUGGAUUGGAGAAAGGGAUAGGCUUGGUGAAGAGGUGGCCAGGGAACAUUCCAGGCACAUGAGUGUUGUUUCCGCAGGCUGAGGUGCUGAGAUGCCCUUAGGGUGGUUCACUCCUUUGGACUCCUUGGAGUGGCUAGAGGUAUGUGUUUCUGUGUGUGUGUGUGCGUGCUCACGUGUGUGCCUGUGUGUGUGUGUGUGUGCGUGUGUGCAGCAGACAAGGAGGAGGGCAGUGAGACUAUGAGGUGGGAGAAGAAAGAUUGAUGAGUGAGGAAGAAAGUGUGAGACCGAUCAACUCCAGGUGUGAGAUAUUUCAGAGGAACCUCAUCAAGAGCUAUCUUUAUGUCUAAUAAAGAUGUCCCGGCUUCUGUGUUUGGAUUCAGAACCUGGACUUGGGGUGAGAUUAAAAUCAGAAGCAAGGGUAAGGCAGAGUAAAGAACCUGGGUGCAAAGAUCCAUACGAUGAUUUACAGAUCUUACUAGAAUUUGGCUGAGACCCAGCCAGUUGGCCUAGCACCUUUCCUCUUGAAGGUUUAUCAUUGAAAUUGAGCUUUUAUUUCCUUGCUGCUGUUGUGGAGCCUCAUCGUCAACCCCCUUCUUUCCCAUUCGUUCUAGGCCUCAGAAGGGAGCAGUGUGAUCAGGCAGCCAUGUGACAUUGGUCUGCACUUCUGGAUGUGCACAUCCCCUGGAAGUUAGGAGGAGGACCGGCCUUCCCUCUGUCCAAGCCAAGAAUCCAGACAUGAUCUCAUCAGGGCCACUCCCUGGGGGGAAGCGGGAGGCAUAGGACUGUUUCAUCCCAUUUCCAGAUGGAGAAACCAAGGAAUGGGAGGAGUUUAAGGACCAGGCAAUGAGCUCACUACAGAGCUGAGAAGAAAUUGGGCUCCUGCUCGGAGGGGCUGCCGUCCAGGACAGUGUGCACGUGCAUGUGUACGUGUGUGUGUGUGUGUGUGUGUGUGUGUGUACGCGUGCUCCUCUCUGGUCCUCCUAAAUCUUCAAAAAGGACAUUGGAAGUGACAUAGUUUAAAAACAGACCCCAGUCCAUGAGAAAGAAUGUGUGGCAUUUGGAGAAUUACAUAAUCUUUAAAUUUAAUGUCCUGAUGUAUAAAAAGGGAAUAAUUGUAACACUUACCUCAUACCACCAUUGAGGUCACUAAUGGAUCUAAAUCUCAGGACCCAAUUUCUGACCCUAUGACCACAAUGCCCACUUGGUGGAUGUUCGUCUACCCGAGCUGAGCCCACUCUCGCUUACCCUGUUCAGGAGUGGGAGUCAUGUCCUGGUUGACACCAGCUAAUCCAAUGUGGGUCUGUAUUCUGUUAGAUUUAUUUUCCUAAUUGUUUUAUCCAAGUGCGUAUGGGGGGGGGGGAUGGAACUAGCUUUGAGUGACUACUAGGCGGGGCAAUUUUCUAGGUGCUCGAUAUAAAUGAUUUCAUUGAAUCCUGGUGGUCCUGUGAGGGGUAUUAUCAAGCCAAGGGUUUGCAUCCUCUUGGAAAUAUUUUACCUGGGUAUUCCUGGAUGCUGAGUGGUAGAAGGAGGCAAGGCUGAUGUUUUCAGAAUGCAAAUCGAAAUGAUCAGGAAGCCAAGUGUGAGACCACACUCCCUCUCUUAGCUUCAGGUACUCUUCAACAAGACCUGUGGUCCUGGUGGUCAUUGGUGGAGACUGAUUGCACGCCUCUUGAAGCUGUCUCUCCCAUGGCUUCAGUCCUUUCUGGUUCUCCUUCAACUUUAGUCCUUCCUCUUGGUCUCCUGGUGGUGGGGCGGGGCAGCUUUUCCUCCGCGUGCUUCUUACAAGUUAGCUUCCCUAAGGAUCUGCCCUCAGCUCUUUCCUCUCUUCGGGUUGACUGUGCACCUGCAGACAUACUCCCUUCCAGUGCCAACCCCCAAAUCAGUUCCCGGAGCUCCAGACUAAACCAGGCAAUUGACAGCUACCUUCCAGAAUUUCCAGACACAUCCAAUUCUAGGUGUUCAGAACUGAGCUCACCUUCUUUCUUCCCGAUCGGCUCCUCUUCGUUUCGGGUCUGACAGAUGACGUCACGGUCAUGCUAACCUGCUUCCUUUACCCUCCGCACCCCGUCUAACCAAGUCCUUGUAGAUUCCCUUCCUUCCCGUCUCCUCUUCCGUGCCAUCUUCAUCCCCAGUUAUGCCCUGGUUUUUUUGUUUUCGUUUUUUGCUCGACGUUCAACGUCUGCCCCCUUUGCCAGAGCAAUCCUUUCAAAUCUGUAAAAUUGACUGAUGUCGCUAUGGCUUCUAUCACCUUUGGGAUGAAGGCCAAGCCCUCCAUUAUCUGACCCAGUUUGCCCCCUCCAGCUUCUUCUCUGGCCGCGGCCCCCACCUUCUGUUUCUCCCGGGAGUGUGUGUGUGGGGGGGGAGGGGGGGGACUGGAACACCUCCAGUCCGUGCUAUCCUGUCUGGAAGUCCCACUCACUUAUCUGGCAAACGUCUCAGCCCGAGGGUCGCCUCUCUGGCGAAGCCCUGCCUGUGCCCCCACUUCCGCCUCUGCGUGGCCAUGGCCUUGACACACACUCAACUAUCACGACUUGUCCAGCUUCCCCAACCAGCCCGAAGCCCUCUCGAGGGAGUGAUUACGUCCCGCUCGCCUGUCUACCGUGAUGUUCAGCGCGUAGCGGAGGUGCAAGCAGUGUUUGCGGAAUGAAUGAUGAGAGGAGGUGAUGCAGGUCAGAUCCACGCCGCGGCGCGCAGACCUGAGGGGUGACGAGCGCUACUUCCCCCCGCUAGAGGGCACUCUCGCCGUGCGCUUCGCUGGGAGCCGGGCGGGUGUGGCUCCGCCUCCGACGGCCUCGCCGGCCCCGCUCGGCUCUGCAGUGUGGCCUCAGCGCGUCUUGGUGAGUGCCGUCGGCCCGGGGACUCUGGGCUCGGGCCAGCCCCUUACCAGCCUCCAGUCACUCUUGUCACAUGUAUCCUUUAUUUUGCGUACUACCCUUCCUUACCUCCUGCUCCCCUGGAUGUAGACGACCCUCACCUGUGGCAGAUUGCGGACCUGUCCUUCCUUCCUUUGGCGGUAGCCAGUAGCAUCUUCUGUAACCCCAGCUAAGACCCUAAUUGUAACAAGUUGGAGGGGGGCAUCCUCCUGGUGACGUGGCUGCAUCCUAACAAUUGCUUUCAAGGCCUUUGAGUAACGUGGUGGGUGCCCUGGUGGUGGCCAUAUUUUGGUGGUGGUGGGGGGGACCGGGACGCUCUCAGAGCCCCUCCAGUCUCCCACAGGGCGGCCUUUCGCAGUGCUCCAUCCGCACUGAUGUGCUAGGGCGCACGUCCCUCCGCGGACCAGUCGCAGCACGCCUGCCGUCUGGAGAGUUGUGCCCACCUCUGACAGUUAGUAUCCAGUUUUGAACUAGGCGGUACUUUCGAUUCGUAGAAGACGUUGAGAAAGCAAUGCAUUCUUUAGCUUCACCGAGGGAGUUUCUUCUUCAUGAAAAGUUCCACCGCGCUCUGCGUUGUGAAAGCCCACUUGAAUUACUGCGUUCUGUUCCGAGCCCCUCUUUUUAAAGGCGAUGGGGAUUAUUUAAGGAUAGUAUCAAAAGGAGGGUGAUCAGAAUGGUGGAGGCUCUGGGGGUUGUGCCAUUUGGGGGUCCAAUGGGGACAUGGGGGCUGUGUAGACAGGAGAAGAAAAGAAGCAGGGAACAUGUGAUAGCUUCCCGGCGUGGGGGUACUUCUGUUUCCACCAACAUGUUACAGAGGAAUAGAAAACAAGUGUUUUCAAAAUCAAGGAAGCUUCUGGGCCUUCUUUUGUAGUGCAGAAUCUGGGUGGUGGGUAGGAGAGAAAACAACAGAAAGUAAGAGAGCUAGGGAAGCUAACAUUAUCCAUGAGAGUUGUACCAUCAGAAGGCAGUUGGGGGAGGGGCGCUGAGGUCCACGGGCAGGCUUGCUGAGAAUGGUUCAAAGGGAGGGUUUUGGGGGUUUCUGCACUGAGUAGGAGAUCGAAAGAGAAUUAUGUAGAAAGAGGACUGUGAGACAUGGUCGUUGAUUACUUGAUGGCCUUUUAAUAAAAUCUUUGAGAAAUUCCAGGCCAGUUUAGAAUUGUAUCUUCACCUAUUGUUGGUUGUUGGACUGUCUCACUCGAAUACGAUGUUAUUGCAACUGGAGCGCAGGAAAGUCUGUGAUUAUUAUAUGGGUGACACGAGCAAGCAUUUUCUAAUAAUCGGUCAAGGAUAGGAUAGGCUCCCUCAUGAUGUGGUGGGACCUGCUGAAUUGGGAUGAGCAGCACUUCAGGGUGCUGCAGAGAGGUGUUCUGCUGGGGUGAGGGUGGGGAACGUUGCAGUAGCUUCUAGGAAAUGACAGUGACAUGAAAAUGACAAAUCGCUGGGCAAGUGUGGGGGGGCCUACCUUCUCACCUGUCCUCCCCCAGUCUGAUGUGGAGUUUAUACUUGACAUAUAUAUGUGGAAAUAUAUACGGAGAUGAUGGGCCUCCAAGCUAUGCUGGGCGGUUUUUUUCUGGUUUCUAAUUUAGCUCUAAGAGACCCUGGUUCCCAAAAGACCAUUGAAGGAUCAUCCUGUGUUAUUGUGCAUGCAGUCAGAACAGUUAAAUAAAAGGCAAGUGAUCAGCUCUACAGAGGUCUGCUGCGCGCAUUCUCGCUCCUAGGACAGCCCUAGGAGCUAGGGGUGUGUCACUGAGAUACAGUCCUUAUUCCCUUCUUUAAAAUAUUUUAGUUAUUAAAAAAAGUUAUUAUUGAAGUAUAGUUGCUAUGCAAUGGUAUAUUACUUUCAGGGGCACAACAUAGUGAUUCGACAUUUCUGUAUAUUACUCAGUGCUCCCCACAAUAAGUGUAAUCACCGUCUGUCACCAUAUAACGUUAUUACAAUAUUGUUGGCUAUAGUCCCUAUGCUGUGCCUUUCAUCUCCUUGACUUACUUAUUUUACGACUAGAAGUUUGAACUUCUUCACCUAUUUCAUCCCUGUCUCCCCGCCCCCCCCCCUCUGGCAACCACUAAUUUGUUCUGUGUAUUGAUAAGUCUGUUCCUGUUUUUUGUUUGUUUUAUAUCCCACAUACAAGUGAAAUCGUAUGGUGUUUGUCUUUUUCUGACUUAUUUCACUUAGUAGAAUAUAUUCUAGGUCCAUCCUUGUUGUUGAAAAUGGUAAGAUCUCAUUCUUUUUUAUGGCUGAGUAGUAGUCCAUUGUGUGUGUAUGUAUGUAUGUAUAUGUAUAUGUAUAUGUAUAUGUAUAUGUAUAUGUAUAUGUAAUAUCUUCUUUCUCCAUUCAUCUGUUGAUGGGCACUUGGGUUGCUUCUGUUUCUCAACUAUUGUAAAUAAUACUGCUAUGAACAUAGGGGCACACAUAUCUGAAUUAAUGUUUUUGCUUUCUUUGGGUAAACAGUCAUAGAAUUACUGGAUCAUAUGUAAUUCUAUAUUUAUUUUAAAGAAUGUUUACUUAUUUAUUUUUAAGAGAGAGAGAGCGAGCGAGCAUCCCAAGCAGGCUUUGCGCUGUCAGUGGAGAGCCCGAUGCAGGGCUUGAACUCAUGAACCAUGAGGUCAUGACUUGAGCCGAAAUCAAGAGUCAGAUGCUUAACUGACUGAGCCAUCCAGGCACCCCGGUGGUUCUAUAUUUAAAUUUUUGAGGAACCUCCAUACUGUCUUCCAUGGUGGCUGCACCAAUUUAUAUUCCCACCAACAUGCACGAAGUUUCUCUCCAUAUCCUCACCGACACUAAUUAUUCCCUACCUUUUUGAUAGCAGCCAUUCUGACUGGCGUGAGGUGGUAUCUCACUGCGGUUUUGAUUUGCAUUUCCUCACAACCCUUGUUCUAGAGGAGUUCAUCUUCCAUGGGGGAGAGUCACGUAAGCCAGUGGCUGCAUUCAGUGUCCUGGGCAUGGAUAGAAGUAUGCACAAGGUGGGGUGAUGAGCAGGACAAAAAGCUUUGCUGGGGAGAUCAUUCUUGAGCCAGUUUUAAGGAGUGAGCAAGGGUUUACCCAAGUGAGCAAAGGUAGGGAAAGGGCAUUCCAGACAGAUGAAGUCCCAUGGGCCAAGGAGCAGAUAUGUGAGGCCACAUGAUGGCCUGGGGGCCUUAGGGCCAGGGAAACAGAGGCCCCGUCCAGGCUGGAACUUCUAGUUACAAAGUUCAUGGUGUCAGACUGUGGGGUUAUAAAGGUCUUUCUCUUCCUUGCUAAGGGACUUUGGCUUUAUCGUACUGGGGCUUUGGAUCCCAGAAGCAUCUUAAUCCUGUCAGUGUUUGGUGAGCAAAUGGAGGGCGCUUUGGAGAGGUGCGAUUGAGUGCGAAUGCACAUAUCUGGAUGUACAUGGUCGGGAUGACAUUAAUCAAAAGGCCUACGGAUGUGGGGGCCUUCCCAGUGGUCAGACUGACAAUGUACUGUCCGUCCUUAAUUCGUUUCCAUCCUUAAUUUGUUUCCCUUGCCUCUCAUGAAAUUAAAAAAAAAUUUUUUUUAUUUCCCUCAAUUCUCUCAACUGACAGAGAAGGCAACUGGGGAUCAGAGUGGGACAGUCCCUUACCCAAGGUCACACAGCUGGGAAAUGCCUUUGGUUUCUUGGCUCUUAAUCCAGUGUUCUCUUCAUGAUGUCAUUCUACCUUCUGAGAAGCUCCAAUAUGCACAGGGGAAAGUUGGAGCUCUGGAGAGUGGUAGAUAAAGCUUUGGCAGUCUGGACCAGCCGUCUUUCCUCCCCGGGGAGGACCCCAGCACACAGCAUGCCUAGGGACACCUCUGCUGUGUCAUUUAAAAAGCUCCUGAUACUCUUCUUCCUAAAGAACCCCUACUCUUUCUUUCAGGUCCAGGGUAGAGGUCACCUCUUAUCUGAAGCAGUAUGUUACCUCAGUGACCCCUCUGGGCAGAAUCAAUUGUAUUACUUCUGUUAGCACAGCACUCAGUAUGGCAGGUUUAUAAGUCUUCUGCCCCAUGAGUCUUGAAGCUUCUUGAAGGAAGGCAUCAUUUCCAUGUGGUGCCUGGUUAUAGCCCCCAAUGCCUAGCAUGGUACCCAGCACAGAGUAGAUGUCCAGAAAAUGUCUGUGGGAUGACAAAAUUGAUGCAUGUAUGAAUCAAGAGUCUGACCCUGAAUCCUUUUGUGGGGCUCUAUUAUGAAGUUUUCAGGGCUCUACCAGCACAUGGUUUUCUUAUUUUAUAGUGGCCGAAGCUGGUGUUCCAAGUAGAAAUAUGUUAGAGCUAGGAAGCUUUCUAUGUGUUUCUUUGCCUUUUUUUUUCUAAAGCAAAGUGAACGUGGUGGCUCGGGGUUCAUCGUUCCUUUGUAAUUCUUCUGUAAUACGCUGACCCCAGGAAAUUAAUUUCCCUUGGACAUGGACACUUUCAGCCUAGAAGUUUUGUUUUUGUUUUUGUUUUUGUUUUUGUUUUUGUUUGGUUUGUUUUUUUUUAGCUGCUAAGAGCUAAAGCUGUUUUUACAGUUUAGAUUUGUUUUGGGUCUUUUGGUAAGAAAAAUUCUCUCGCUUUUUUUUUUUUUUUUAAAUUUCUUCCUUCUCCCUCCCAAAUUCCAUGCUUGUUUAAUCUUGUUGAAACAAUUAGAUUCAUCUUAAGGAAGCCAAAUAUGGAAACACUUUGGGGAGGGGGCUGGGGGCCGGCACUCCUGCCCAGCCAGCUUUUUUUCUCUUCGAGAAGAGCCAUUUCCAUCUGUGCUCUUCUGCCAACUGAUUAACACCUUGUGAUGAAGCACCAGGCUGUGCAUUUCCAAGGGGUUAGCUCUUUCUGCAUGGUAGCACUUGUUCUUUGUUUAAGGGAGAACUAUUUACUUUUUUUUUUUGCAUUUGAUUAAAACUCCAGGAGUGGCAGACUCCUGGGUCUGGUCCAGGCAAAGCUGUGAGAGGGUGAUCCUGGGGCCUGGGUGGACCACAUGUGAGAAAGCUCUGGGCUCUCUUUUGAGGAAAACAGCAGGAGCCCUUUGGUUGUAGGUGUGCAGACACUUUCUGUCCCUCUGGCUUCACGGUGUGCUGGAACCUCAGCUCCCUGGGGCUCUUGGCUGGGGGGCGGGGGUGCUGUUUGUGGCUGUUGUGAGUUGGUGGUUCUGGGCAGGAGCUCACAUACCAGCCUGGAACCAAGUGGUGUAAAGCAUUUCCCAGAGCUUGGGGAGGUCUGAGGGCAGAGCAGCUGUGGGGUGACAGGCCUAUGGCUGUGGGGAAGGGAAAGGAGUGGCAUUUGAGGAUCACUUUGCAAGUGUGAGGAAUUGGGCUAGGCAUAUUUAAUUUUUUUGUUAAAAAAAAUUUUUUUAAUGCUUAUUUAUUUUUUGAGACAGAGAGUGAGACAGAGUGUGAGUGGGGGAGGGCCAGAGAGAGGGAGACACAGAAUCCGAAGCAGGCUCCAGGCUCUGAGCUGUCAGCACGGAGCCCGACGUGGGGCUCAAACCCACAAACCAUGAGAUCAUGACCUGAGCUGAAGUUGGAUGCCCAAUCGACUGAGCCACCCAGGCGCCCUGGGCUAUGCAUAUUUACAAUGCACAUUCAUUUAUCCUGAUAAUAACAAUCACUAACAUUUAUUGAGUGCCUACCUCACACAAGGCACAUUAAUACACGGUUACAUUUAGUCCUCAGAAGGUUCUGUUUCCAUUUUACUGAUGUGGAAACCAUAGCUGGAAGAGAUCUGGUCAACUGAAGAGCUUGCCCUGGGUGGGAACCAGACCAGGCUCAAAAUCCCCUUCCACCCAUGUCUUGUUAUAGAGUCUAUCCGUUUUUUUUUUUUUUUUUUUUUUCUGAAUGCCAUAAAAUAUGAUCUCUCGAAUUCCUUCAAAUGAUUAAGGGGCGAUUUCCCCCAGCAAACAUGAUCGUAUUAAACCACAAACACCAGCAGCCAGGGCCACAAAAAGCAAGCUGUUGAAGGAUGCAAGGGUAUUUGUUUUGGAGUUUCUCAUUAAUAGUUUCUGCUCAUUCAUUUAUUUUCUUAUGCUAGCUCUGGCUAAUAGGCAAGUGGUAACAGGCAGCAAGGCAGAACAAAAAUUUAUGGGAGAAAUGCCUACAAUUGAGAAAAGUCUGUCAAUGUUCACAUUUUUUUAGUGCAUUGGGAAAGCUGCUAAUGUUUGAUUGGAGCAGUGCAGGCAUGCUUCUGCCCUUUCUUUGGAAGGUAAUGGUGGGCGGAUGGGUGGGGUGGGGAAAUGGUACUAAGGCUACAACAAGGCCAAUACAUUUCUCCAGUUCACCUCUGUUGCCAGUCUCCGCAGUGAACAGGGGCUGGGCUCCAGAUGAUAAGACACUAAUGAAAUGAUUGGGCUGCACUUUGCACUUGUAAAAAAGAACAAAUGUUAAAUAACAACAACAAUGGUAGUAAUCUGAUUUUGGUUUGGGGCCGAGGCCUCGGCAUUUCAGAGACGGAGCGCAUAUGGAAUACAUUCGUAGGUCUGUAUAAUGCCCUAUAAACUGAUUGGGUUCAGAUGAGAAGCAUUUGUCCUCAAAGUUCCCAUUACUGGGUGUGGUGGGGUCUGGCCUGGGCUCUUACUGGAGGGGCUGCCUUCGGAGACAAGAUGCUAUUGUUAGCUGCGGUGGUGGGAAAUGUCCUGUGGGGGAACUCUCCCUGUCUUCAUAUAAGCUCCAAACCAAGGAAUGGUUGAGAUGGUGAAAUUGCUCGUUACACUCUGGUCUACCGAAGACGUGUUGUAUCAACAAGGAAAUGCUAAGUGCAUGGGAAGACACCUCCUCAAGUCACGGGCUUUGAGAAUUUCAGAUUUCAAGCUCUUCCUCAUCAGACCCAGUCAUGGGAUGUUGUUGGUGAAGUUUUUGUAGGUUUGAGUGAUCUUGAAGACCACGUAUGAUGAAUUCCAACAUACUGCUGGUUGUUUGUGGUAGAUCGUGGUACAAAGCCCCUGCCCUUCCAGUAUUCGGCCCGGGCACCCCUUUCAUGAUAAGAUAAACCACCGUAUGAGUACAUUUUUGUUCUGGAGAAGAGGAAGCUGAAGGUUUUCCCGGAGGGCUGUGUCCCUGAAGUUUCCUGCUCCUCUGUGGUUUGGCUUCCCCACUUGGGUGGCCUUAGUGGUCUGCUGUUUUUAUCCAAUUUCCUUGCUUCUAUUUUGAUCAUCAUUGCCACCAGUCAUUGUUGCAUGUUCUAGUGGAAAUUUUACAAAUAUUUAAAAUGAGAUUGAGUUCGAGGUUUAUCAAAUGGAGAUCUUUGCCACAUUCAGGGAGUAUAGGUUCUCACAUAUGCAGAAUAUUUCCAAAGCCAAAGUCUAUUUUAAGCAGGUUUCUCCUGUGUGACAUAAAUCAGUUUUUUAAAUUUUGUUUUAUGAAACUCGUUCUUCGCUGGAACUUAUCAGGGAUACGGGUCAGUUUGAGAGCUUCAAGGAGCCUGGAGGGGAAAGGCGUUGGGAGCAGGGGCAACAGUGGGAGGACAGACAAUUAAAGGAGGGGAACUGUGCACGUGGCUGCUGUAGCAAGCAUCAGUAUCACCAGAUCACAUCAUUUAGCAGGAAGUGCCCAUGUAUACCACUAAUAGUAACAUGGGGAUGACUGAUAUGCCCAAAUCUAAGAGAAGUGGCAGGUAAGCUAGUGGUUCUCAUCUUAUCAAAACAAGAGGGCUUCCUGGAGGAGAUGAGGCAUUUGGAAUGAUGGGUAGAAAGAAUAUUGGCUGGGCCAAAGGGCAAAGGUUGGCCUUGUGUCUGGGGCAGCCUGCAUGGGCUGCUGCUCUUUUCCUAUUCAUUUUCUCUCUUUCUGCUAUCUUUGCCAUUUCUUGAUCUAUUCACGUAUUUCAAAGCAGCAGGAGAAUUUUAGCAGAGAGAUGUGCUAACUUCCAGAAAGGCAAGCUUUGCUUCUACUGCUUAAGUCAUUUCCCCCUGUUUGUGGGACUUCUCCAAAUGCGUGCCUAGUUGGUACCUCACAUCUGAAAUGUGUAAAAUAUAAUUUUCUUAUCAUUCCUCUCCUGACAUCCAAUUUUACUCUGAAAUGAAUUCCACCUUUUUUUUCUACGAUUUUUAUUCCUAUCAUGACCACCACGAUUUUCUUUUAGGACCAAAUUAUGUUGUGAUGCGUGCACUAGCACGGUUAUCUUUCCUAUUACUCUCCCCCACAUUUUCUCUUCUUCCAUGUGUUCAUCCUAGAAUGGCUUCCCAUAUAUAGUCCAGUUAAAUAAGUAUUGACUGAGCGCUUAAUAUGUGCCCUCAUAGACCCCCAAGUAAUCACAAAGCCAGGUACAAAGCCAUAAAACAAAUCACUGAACAAAGGAGGGGGAAAUAUUUGUAUAAAAGAAAAGGAUUAAGAACUUUCUAGGCACUGUAAGAUCGUAGUCCAUGCACUUGCAACCAAGUGCAAUACUAUACUUACCAGGUGCAGUACUGUACUUAGUUACCAAGCACAGUACUGUACUUACUGGUUAUAGGACCUUGAGCAAGUCAUUCGCUAUCUCUGAGCCUGUGUUUCCUCAUUUUCAGGGUGAGAAUUAAAACCUAGAUCAUCACCACAAUCCCUUCUAGAGGAGAAUUCUCUUAUUGUGUUAUUGACUUGUGCUCAUUUUCUAGCUCUGCUAAGCCCAAAGGCUUAGGAAUGGGGUGAUGAUUGGUGAUUCAGUUCUGAAAUAAGUAACUCAGUAGCUUAUUUGUAAAUAUAAGUCCUAGAGAUAAUAAGCACAACAGGCCUGCCAGUUUAUGUUGAGCUAACAGACGGAGGCACACAAGUGACAUCCUCCUGGAGGACUUUCAUCUGCAUUUCUUCCUGGUUUGGAAUAAUGCCGAUGUUUAUAGCUGUCCACCAAGACAGGUAUGUCUGCAAGUUCCUCAACCUAGAGUAGGGCUUAGCCACCAGCCCCUAUCCCUGCCCCCUGCUCCUCUAAGAGUUUGCCUUAUUCUUUCUUUACUCUCAAAGCACAAAGUUCCACUACAGUUCUUGCUUAUAAUGGUCUGGGCAACGCUUCAAAAGGCCCAGACAUGGGGCACCUGGGGCUUAGUUGGUUAAACCACUGACUCUUGAUCUCAGCUCAGGUAUUGGUGUCAGGGUUGUGAGUUCAAGCUCUGUUUGGCGCUUCAGGGUGGAUGGGAAGCCUUCAUAAAAACAAAACAAAACAAAACAAAACAAAACAAAACAAAACGCCCAGGCACUACACCAUGCUGGAUGUUCAGAUAAAGCCUGGGACUUUGGCUAGUUAAGUUUGCCAAACUGUGGAAUACAGAAAGGCUGCUCUCAGCCUCAACACAGGCUUCUGAAAAUCUCGUUCCAGAGUAUAUAUUAACUCAAAUGUCAGGAGAGAAAUAAUGAGAUGAAUACAACUCCAACUUGAAAUAUUGCCAGCAUUUAUUAUUUUUUUAAUUGGCUAAUGUCAACUACAUGGCCUAACAUCUAAUUUCUCUGGCUUAUUAAAUGUCAAAAUAUUAGUUCUGAAGAGCAGCACUAUGGGCCUGGGAAUGAGCUCAGGAAAAAUGUAUCAUACGUCUUUUAAUUCUUCCCAAAGCCCAAAGUGGGGAAGGUUUAUAAAGGUUAAUAAAUUUGGUCAGCCUGACAAGUGUAGGAAAAAAAUUAAUUUGGGUCCAAGGAUAAGAUUAAUAAAAUCAUCCACCAUAUGCAUUCUUUGCUCUUCCAGCCAAGCUAAUUGGCUCUUAGCUGCCUCUUUCCCCAGACAACGUUGUAUUCCUUCACCUCUGGCAGGGUUUGACUCUUCCCUGUAAUGACCUUCACCCCCUCUCCGUAGAAUUGUGUCAUUGGAAUCUUCCCAAACGCAUUCCUUCUGGAAGUUUUCCAUUAUCAAGACAACCAACUGGAGGAUCACAUAGUUGUAUGGUAGUGAGCAAGACUCUUAACUCUGGUGCCUCAUUAUUUUCUUUAAUCUUUGAAAUGAGAGGGUAGAAUAUUAAGGGCCUAUCUGGUCUCAGGGCUGUGGCUCAAGAUGUGGAAGCCUGUAUGCAUUUACCUUCUUUGUAAGAACUUGACUGCAGAUGCAGAUAUAAGGAGAACACAAAGAGGUUCUGUUUGAAUAAAAAUAAAACACAGAGAGCACACUUUAUCUCUCUUUGCAAAGAUGAUUUUCAUCCUCUUCAGAUUAAUGUUAUCUGCACCCUUCCUGACACCUACCCUUGUAGGGACAGGGUCAUUUUUCAUUCUUCCUGCUCCUGUAGGCCCCCAACAAGGGGGUGCCAUAUUCAUCACAGUCUGACCAUCAUUGAGGUCAUCAUCGCUUGAAUCCUAUUAUAAAGGUUGAACCAUAUGAAAUUGCCUUUUUGAUUUGGUAUGUCAAAAAAUGGUCUAAUAUUGGCAAUUCCAUGUGGUCAACCUAAUAUAUAAGGCCUUUCCCAAAGCCGUUCCCUCACUCUUACUGCUCUUGUCACCUUCCCCGACCCCUGUCAUAAUUCUUUGACCAACUGACAAAUUUCUGGCCCUUUUUCAAGCCUUUGCUCAGGUAUGAGCCUUAUGUCUGCAGCUUUCUGUGAGGCUUGGCCUCUCAUGGUCCUUCAUGCUUCACGUGUUUCACUUGUGCUCUGUGAGGUCAGGGUGCCCGUAGGGAAGAGAAGGCACAUCCAACUGGGAAAUGAAGGAGAGCUUAAGGAGGGGACUAUUUACAAAGAAGUGGUCAGAAUGAAGGGAAAUCAAAGGGAUGGUGAAGCCACCGGGGCUGGUGAUGGCAGGGAGCCAUUGCCUCCCUCACCAGGUCAGAAGAAGAGAGGGGAAAGUGGGGGGUGGGUGCAACCUAGUGAGAGCCAUGGCAGAGGCCAGGAGAGGCCCACGUUUAGGAAAUGUGGCCUUCAGUGGAGACAGACAGCAGCUUCCAACUGGUAGGCCUACAGAAGUAAGCCGGGGAAUGAGUACCCAUUCCUUUUUUUCUUUCUGUCUAGCCAUCUCAGUUUCUGCCUCCUGUUUACCAAGCGCCAUCGGAAGCCAGAAGGCAGGGACCGGUUGUCUUUCAGGUCAGCUUCCCAGAGUGUAGAGCAGGGUGGAGGGGGGUCUGCCUAGGUCAGAGACGCUUCUGUGUCAGGAACAGCCUGGAGGAGAGUCGACGACCCUACUGCCAACUUUCGUUCAUCAUAAAUUUCCAUUUGCUUCUUGAAGAAGCAGAAAAAUCUGGCAGAAUCAGACAAUUUAUCCUUUGUGAAGGAGGAAGGAGCCUGGAGAAUGUUUUCAGAGUGGUGAGUUACAUCCAUCAUUUUUCUUAAGUUAGACAAUAUUUCAAACAUGAUACUGCACAAUGAUGUAAUAGACACUCAAUACGCCCACCAUCAGAUUUAAGAGAUUGUGAAUAUUUUCCCGUAUUUGUUUCAGAUACUUAUUGAAAGAAAUAAAACGUUAGAGAUUCAGCUCUAGCCAUCUUCCCCAAGUCCCAGGACCUUUCAUAAGUGACCACUUUCUUUCCCUCUCUCUGUAAUUUUGCUACAUCUUCAUAAGCAACAUGCCUCCUCUUGAAAUGCUUCAACGUGUAUAAAUGGCAUCCUACUACAGCUUGCCUUUUUUACUCCACUAUAUAUUUUUGAGAUUUAUUCCCGUUAAUAAAUUAGAUUCAGUUCACUCAUUGAAACAACUGCUCACUCAGCGACUGCUCUGUGAUUUAUAGAUCUGUGCCUAGAUUGGUGGAUAUGUAGGUGGUUCCAGGUUUUGUGUUUUUAUAUUUUCUCUCUCUCUCUCUCUUUUUUUUUUCUUGUGACGACAAAUAAUGCCACGUGACAUACCUUUGUACCUGGGUACUGUGCAAGAGAUCCUCCCAGAUACAUAUUUAGAAGUGGAAUUGUGGGGUCACUGGAGAUGGGCAUCUUCGACUUUACCAGCAGGGCUAAGUCAUCCUCCAGGUUGGUUGCCCCAGUUUACAGAGUUGUGGAACAGAAGGCAGACGCCUGUGAGGACGCUUGUGAGCCCCCCUCUGGCCCCCCCCCCUUAGUUUGGGCCUGCUGGGACAAUGAAGGAAUCUGCCUCUGGGCCCCUUCCAUCAUCUAGAACCCGGUCCCAAGCGGAGAGGGAGAGGAAGGUCAAUAUUUGCUUGCGACAGCUUUUUGUUUUGGGAGAACAAAGUCUGUGUAUUAGCUCAGGGGUGACAGGGGUCCUGGGAGGAUAGUAGUAGAAACUAUUUUCUGUGUGCUUACUGUGUGCUUACAGGUACUUUAAUUAAUUUCAUUUUAACUUCUUUAUUAAGAAAUAUAACACAAAUAUGUAUAUACACAAUAUAUAUACUACAUAUAUAUUUUAAAAAGAAAUAAGUGUGCACCAUAAAUUAUAACAAAGCAAAUACCUGUGUAACCCCCACCAGGUCAAGAAAAAGAACACUGUUACCACCAAACAAACUGUUCUGUUUGCACACUGGAAACUUCCUCGAAAUUAACCAUUGACGUCUAAUGCUUUAAGUUUACUUUUGCCUGUUUCAAAGAUUAUCUGACUAGAACUACACCCUAAUUUUUCUUUUGUGCCUGCCUUCUGUGGCUCAUUUAUGUUGUUAAAGGUACCUGGAGUUUAUAAGUUUCAUGGCUGUAUGAUGCUACAUUGUAUACAUACACUGUAAUUUACUUAUACGUAUUGACUGUUGAUGGACAUUUGGGUUAUUUUCAGUUUUCGCUAUGACAAAGAAAGUUACCAUGAACAUUCUUGCCCAUGUCUCUUGGUGCCCAGAUGCAUGCAUUUCUGUUGGAUAUAUGCCUGGGUUAUAGGAUAGCAGUGUCUUUACCUUUAUUGCUUAAUGUCAAACUGUUUUCCCGAGUGGCUAUGCCAAUUUAUGCAAAUGAGAAAUUAUGUUGUUCUAAAUUUGUACCAACACUAAUUAUUUUUAAUUUCUUAAACGUUAGCUAUGCUGGUGGCAAUGUAGAGUGCUAGUGUUUUAUUUCGCAUUUUCUUUUUAUUUAACUUAAAAUUUUUACAUUUACAUUUUCAUUUAUUUUGGAUUUUCUUGAUGACUGAUGAAGUUGAACAACUUUUUCUAUUUACUGGCCAUUUGGGUAUUAUAUUUUGUAGAGUGCUUGUUCAGAUCUCUUUCACAUUUUUCUAUUGGGCUGUAUAUCUUUUUCUUAUUAACAUAUAGGAAUUCUUUAUAUUUUUUCUGAAUGCAAACCUUUUCGGUUACCUAAGUUGCUGAUACCUUGUUUUACUUUUUGACUUGCCUUUCUAGUCUCUAAAUUGUGUCUUUUGGUGAACAGAUGUUCUUAAUUUUAAUGUACCCCAUUUUAUCAAUCUUUUUCUUUAUGAUUGAUGCAUUUUAACCUCCUGUUUAAGAAAUAUAUCCCUCACAGUCACGAAAAUAUUCUGUAUAUUAAUGUCUAGAAACUUGAUGUUGCCUUUUACAUUUAAAGCUACAUUCUUCUUGGAAUUGAUUUUUGUGUAUGGUGUGAUGUGGAGUUCAGUUUUCUUUUUCAUAUGAAUAUCCAAUCAAUUCAGCACCAUUUAUGAAAAUAUCAUACUUUCCCCACUUAUCUGAAGUAUCACUUUGGUCACAAAUCAAGUGGUUUUUUUUGUGUGAAUUUCUGAAAUUGCUAUGUUAUUCCAUUGGUCUGUUUGUUUAUUCCUACUCAAAAAUCAUUUUCUUAAUUUUGUGGUUUUAGAAUAAGUUUGAUAUCUGGAAAAAAUGUCCUCCCUCUUUGUCUCUGUCAAGGGUGUCUUGGCUAUUUUUGGCCUUUGAGUUUCCGUACUUAUUUUAGAAUUAGCUUAUUAAGUUCCACAAAAAAAAAAAAAAAAAGAAGAAAGAAAGAAAAAAAAAAGAAA